UCUUCAUUCCGCACGCUAUCUCACCGGCCAGGGAGGCGAGAGAGUAUGCAAAAUGAAGAGA
rnacentral:pre_miRNA from 1 species